AACUAACUUGUUGAACACGUGAUAGAUUCUCAAAUUUGAUCUAAAGUCCUUAAAGUUGUACCCGUUUUGCCUUCGUGUUCCCUUGAUACUUCUUCCUCAUAGAGUCUCAAAUCUACUUAAAAGUACUUUGUUAAGACUUAUCUACAAGGUUGCUUGAUCAAUAGCUUAGAAAAAAAUAGUUCUUAACUGUAAGAUCCUUCAGUUCUUCAGCUUCAAUGUCUCUAACUCCAUCUUUUGUGUCUUGGAUAAUUUUACAUUAGCUGCUGGCUCUGCUUCCAUAUUCAACAACUUGCCAAUACUCAU
rnacentral:lncRNA from 1 species